GUUUGAUCAUGGCUCAGGAUGAACGCUAGCGGCAGGCUUAAUACAUGCAAGUCGAGGGGCAGCAGCUUUAUAGCAAUAUAGAGGCUGGCGACCGGCAAACGGGUGCGGAACACGUACACAACCUUCCUUUAAGUGGGGGAUAGCCCAUAGAAAUGUGGAUUAAUACCCCGUAAUAUUAUUGAAGUGGCAUCACUUUAUAAUUAUAGUUUCGACGCUUGAAGAUGGGUGUGCGGCUGAUUAGGUAGUUGGCGGGGUAAAGGCCCACCAAGCCUUCGAUCAGUAGCUGAUGUGAGAGCAUGAUCAGCCACACGGGCACUGAGACACGGGCCCGACUCCUACGGGAGGCAGCAGUAAGGAAUAUUGGUCAAUGGACGCAAGUCUGAACCAGCCAUGCCGCGUGAAGGAUGAAGGUCUCUGGAUUGUAAACUUCUUUUAUAGGGGGCGAAAAAAGGAAUUCUUUCUCACUUGACAGUACCCUAUGAAUAAGCACCGGCUAACUCCGUGCCAGCAGCCGCGGUAUACGGAGGUGCAGCGUAUCCGGAUCACUGGGUUAAA
rnacentral:rRNA from 1 species